CCUACGGGAGGCAGCAGUGAGGAAUUUUCCGCAAUGGGCGAAAGCCUGACGGAGCAAUACCGCGUGAGGGAUGAAGGAUUUUGGUCUGUAAACCUCUUUUCUCAAGAAAGAAGUUCUGACGGUACUUGAGGAAUAAGCAUCGGCUAACUCCGUGCCAGCAGCCGCGGUAAUACGGGGGAUGCAAGCGUUAUCCGGAAUGAUUGGGCGUAAAGCGCCUGUAGGUUGUUUAUUAAGUCCGUUGUUAAAGCCUAGGGCUUAACCCUAGAAAAGCAAUGGAAACUAGUAGACUAGAGUAUGGCAGGGGUAGAGGGAAUUUCUAGUGUAGCGGUGAAAUGCGUAGAUAUUAGAAAGAACACCGGUGGCGAAAGCGCUCUACUGGACCAUUACUGACACUCAGAGGCGAAAGCUAGGGUAGCAAAAGGGAUUAGAUACCCCUGUAGUCCUAGCCGUAAACGAUGGAUACUAGAUGUUGUGCAUUAUGUACAGUAUCGUAGCUAACGCGUUAAGUAUCCGCCUGGGGAGUACGCUCGCAAGGGUGAAACUCAAAGGAAUUUGACGGCUGAGANGCGACGACGACACGAGGAGAGG
rnacentral:rRNA from 1 species